UACGUAGGUGGCAAGCGUUGUCCGGAAUUAUUGGGCGUAAAGCGCGCGCAGGCGGCUUCUUAAGUCUGAUGUGAAAGCCCACGGCUCAACCGUGGAGGGUCAUUGGAAACUGGGAGGCUUGAGUGCAGAAGAGGAGAGCGGAAUUCCACGUGUAGCGGUGAAAUGCGUAGGGAUGUGGAGGAACACCAGUGGCGAAGGCGGCUCUCUGGUCUGUAACUGACGCUGAGGCGCGAAAGCGUGGGGAGCGAACAGG
rnacentral:rRNA from 1 species